CAACACAAUGCAGUCGAGCGGAACGAGUUAUCUGAACCUUCGGGGAACGAUAACGGCGUCGAGCGGCGGACGGGUGAGUAAUGCCUGGGAAAUUGCCCUGAUGUGGGGGAUAACCAUUGGAAACGAUGGCUAAUACCGCAUAAUAGCUUCGGCUCAAAGAGGGGGACCUUCGGGCCUCUCGCGUCAGGAUAUGCCCAGGUGGGAUUAGCUAGUUGGUGAGGUAAGGGCUCACCAAGGCGACGAUCCCUAGCUGGUCUGAGAGGAUGAUCAGCCACACUGGAACUGAGACACGGUCCAGACUCCUACGGGAGGCAGCAGUGGGGAAUAUUGCACAAUGGGCGCAAGCCUGAUGCAGCCAUGCCGCGUGUGUGAAGAAGGCCUUCGGGUUGUAAAGCACUUUCAGUCGUGAGGAAGGUAGUGUGUUUAAUAGAUGCAUUAUUUGACGUUAGCGACAGAAGAAGCACCGGCUAACUCCGUGCCAGCAGCCGCGGUAAUACGGAGGGUGCGAGCGUUAAUCGGAAUUACUGGGCGUAAAGCGCAUGCAGGUGGUGUGUUAAGUCAGAUGUGAAAGCCCGGGGCUCAACCUCGGAAUUGCAUUUGAAACUGGCAGACUAGAGUACUGUAGAGGGGGGUAGAAUUUCAGGUGUAGCGGUGAAAUGCGUAGAGAUCUGAAGGAAUACCGGUGGCGAAGGCGGCCCCCUGGACAGAUACUGACACUCAGAUGCGAAAGCGUGGGGAGCAAACAGGAUUAGAUACCCUGGUAGUCCACGCCGUAAACGAUGUCUACUUGGAGGUUGUGGCCUUGAGCCGUGGCUUUCGGAGCUAACGCGUUAAGUAGACCGCCUGGGGAGUACGGUCGCAAGAUUAAAACUCAAAUGAAUUGACGGGGGCCCGCACAAGCGGUGGAGCAUGUGGUUUAAUUCGAUGCAACGCGAAGAACCUUACCUACUCUUGACAUCCAGAGAACUUUCCAGAGAUGGAUUGGUGCCUUCGGGAACUCU
rnacentral:rRNA from 1 species